UCAAGAAAGCAAAGGGUAGAAUAUGUAAAAUAUUAUAAUCACACCCACAAUUCCGUCUCUUUGUUUUGGGGGAAGAAAUCAAUCCAGCAAAAUAGAAAUUAAAAAAGAAAAAGAAAAAAUGACAAUCGGACAAGGAAACAACAUCGGCGGCGGCCUUCAGAAGCUUUUGCCCAUCCUCUAUGUAAUCGGCGCCGGAAUAAUAUGUACGGCUGUGAUUAACAAGUGGAAACGGAAACAGGAAUCAGAAUUGAGACAUCAACGACACCGACGAUUGUUAGAAGAUCCCUCAAAACCUGUUGAUUUUGAUUGACCCCACAUCCAAAUCCAUAUAAAAUGAUUACAGGAUGCCCAUAAAAGCUCUAGAACAAUAAUUAACGACAGGGAUGGCGUAUCUGAUUCUUGUUAACUGAAAAUUUAUAUAGCAUCCACUUUUGCUCACUAAGCAACUGUACAUCAUCCAGCAGUAAAUGCGGACCAGUUCAGUGAACCAAAUAAGUUGAAUUUUCUUGCAGUAAAUCAUUUAUAAAAAAAGAACAUACUCCCCCAACUUGGCAGUAUCAGCAUUUGCAAUGCUUAUCUCUUUUAAUGUACCAUUGCAGGCAAGUGUUUUUAACUAUAAGCCUUUCAUCAUAUUAUAUGUAAUAAGUUGCAUUCAUUAUAUCCAUAAGUACAAUUCUUUCACCUUAGAAAAUGUCAUAGCCUGCCUUGUAUACUGUUUUAAUUCUUCAUAAGUCACAAAAACA